rnacentral:rRNA from 1 species
CAGCAGCCACGGGAAUACGAAGGGGGCUAGCGUUGUUCGGAAUCACUGGGCGUAAAGGGUGCGUAGGCGGGAUCUUAAGUCAGGGGUGAAAUCCCGAGGCUCAACCUCGGAACUGCCUUUGAUACUGGGGUCCUUGAGUCCGGAAGAGGUGAGUGGAACUGCGAGUGUAGAGGUGAAAUUCGUAGAUAUUCGCAAGAACACCGGUGGCGAAGGCGGCUCACUGGUCCGGAACUGACGCUGAGGCACGACAGCGUGGGGAGCAAACAGGAUUAGAUACCCGGGUAGUCCCUGUCUCUUAUAC